GACGAACGCUGGCGGCGUGCUAACACAUGCAAGUCGAACGGUAAGGCCCUUCGGGGUACACGAGUGGCGAACGGGUGAGUAACACGUGGGUGAUCUGCCCUGCACUUCAGGAUAAGCCUGGGAAACUGGGUCUAAUACCGGAUAGGACCACUGCCUGCAUGGGUGGUGGUGGAAAGCUUUUGCGGUGUGGGAUGGGCCCGCGGCCUAUCAGCUUGUUGGUGGGGUGAUGGCCUACCAAGGCGACGACGGGUAGCCGGCCUGAGAGGGUGACCGGCCACACUGGGACUGAGAUACGGCCCAGACUCCUACGGGAGGCAGCAGUGGGGAAUAUUGCACAAUGGGCGCAAGCCUGAUGCAGCGACGCCGCGUGAGGGAUGACGGCCUUCGGGUUGUAAACCUCUUUCAGCACCGACGAAGCGCAAGUGACGGUAGGUGCAGAAGAAGGACCGGCCAACUACGUGCCAGCCGCCGCAGUAA
rnacentral:rRNA from 1 species